rnacentral:lncRNA from 1 species
UCCGCUGCCUCUGAGCUGCUACUUAGAUCUGGUCUGUUUCUACCUCUGCUGGACCAGAAGUUUGCAUUAACGCCCCCACCCCAUCCUGCAAGACCGGCGCUUCCAACCAAGGGCUCUCUCCUCUGAACCUAGAACCUGCUUGGAAAUCGAGUAUUUCCUCUAUGCCCAGGCAGAAAUGACUUUACCCCUGUGCCACUUAUUUUGGCCUGGAGCACUAAGGAGCCAUACUACACCCAAUGCCAGAGG